CAGCCGCCGCGGUAAUACAGAGGGUGCGAGCGUUAAUCGGAUUUACUGGGCGUAAAGCGUGCGUAGGCGGCUUCUUAAGUCGGAUGUGAAAUCCCUGAGCUUAACUUAGGAAUUGCAUUUGAUACUGGGAAGCUAGAGUAUGGGAGAGGAUGGUAGAAUUCCAGGUGUAGCGGUGAAAUGCGUAGAGAUCUGGAGGAAUACCGAUGGCGAAGGCAGCCAUCUGGCCUAAUACUGACGCUGAGGUACGAAAGCAUGGGGAGCAAACAGGAUUAGAUACCCGUGUAGUCCCUGUCUCUUAUAC
rnacentral:rRNA from 1 species